CUGCUAGUUCAGCUGUGAAGAAGGCCUUAAGGUCAGUCACCAUGUCUGAUAGGUCGGCCUUAGUGGCUAGUGGUGGUUCUGACUGCCUUGGUGGUGCAGUUUGUUGCUUCCGUUGGGGUGUCGGCAUGUCGCUGAGGUAAUCAUCCUCUGAGGCAGAGGGAGACUCCAUCCCCAUGGUUUGGAAGGCGUCCGCCAUUUUGGGCCUGCAUGCCUGGGACAAGAGUUGCCCGAUAUCGUGGGUAUGUCCCACGGAUGACACUCGGG